AUUGAACGCUAGCGGCAUGCUUAACACAUGCAAGUCGAACGGUAGCAGGUCUAGCUUGCUAGAUGCUGACGAGUGGCGGACGGGUGAGUAACGCGUAGGAAUUUACCUUGUAGUGGGGGAUAACUUGGGGAAACCCAAGCUAAUACCGCAUAAGCCCUAAGGGGGAAAGCGUGGGACCGAAAGGCCACGUGCUAUGAGGUGAGCCUGCGUCGGAUUAGCUAGUUGGUAGGGUAAAGGCCUACCAAGGCGUAGAUCCGUAGCUGGUCUGAGAGGACGACCAGCCACACUGGGACUGAGACACGGCCCAGACUCCUACGGGAGGCAGCAGUGGGGAAUAUUGGACAAUGGGCGAAAGCCUGAUCCAGCCAUGCCGCGUGUGUGAAGAAGGUCUUCGGAUUGUAAAGCACUUUAAGUUGAGAGGAAGGGUAUUCACCUAAUACGUGGGUACUUUGACGUUACCAACAGAAUAAGCACCGGCUAACUCUGUGCCAGCCGCCGCCGUAA
rnacentral:rRNA from 1 species